GGAUUAGUUUGAUCCUGGCUCAGAUUGAACGCUGGCGGCAGGCCUAACACCUGCAAUUCGAGCGGCAGCGGGAAAGUAGCUUGCUACUUUUGCCGGCGAGCGGCGGACGGGUGAGUAAUGCCUGGGGAUCUGCCCAGUCGAGGGGGAUAACAGUUGGAAACGACUGCUAAUACCGCAUACGCCCUACGGGGGAAAGGAGGGGACCUUCGGGCCUUUCGCGAUUGGAUGAACCCAGGUGGGAUUAGCUAGUUGGUGGGGUAAUGGCUCACCAAGGCGACGAUCCCUAGCUGGUCUGAGAGGAUGAUCAGCCACACUGGAACUGAGACACGGUCCAGACUCCUACGGGAGGCAGCAGUGGGGAAUAUUGCACAAUGGGGGAAACCCUGAUGCAGCCAUGCCGCGUGUGUGAAGAAGGCCUUCGGGUUGUAAAGCACUUUCAGCGAGGAGGAAAGGUUGUUGGCUAAUACCCAGCAACUGUGACGUUACUCGCAGAAGAAGCACCGGCUAACUCCGUGCCAGCAGCCGCGGUAAUACGUAGGGUGCGAGCGUUAAUCGGAAUUACUGGGCGUAAAGCGUGCGCAGGCGGUUUAGUAAAACAGGCGUGAAAUCCCCGGGCUCAACCUGGGAACUGCGCUUGUGACUGCUAAGCUAGAGUACGGCAGAGGGGGGUGGAAUUCCACGUGUAGCAGUGAAUGCGUAGAGAUGUGGAAGAACACCGAUGGGAAAGCAGCCCCCUGGGCCGAUACUGACGCUCAUGCACAAAGCGUGGGUAGCAACAGGAUUAGAUACCCUGGUAGUCC
rnacentral:rRNA from 1 species